UGGGUCGACUGGACGGUCGCGUUGCGGGUGGUUUCCGCUCGUACCGAGGAACGUCCGGGCUCCAUAGGGCAGGGCGGUGGGUAACACCCACCCGGAGCAAUCCGCGAGACAGUGCCACAGAGAGCAGACCGCCAGGACGCGAGUCCCGGUAAGGGUGAAAGGGUGGUGUAAGAGACCACCGGGUUCGCGGUGACGCGAACCGCACGGCAAACCUCGCCCGGAGCAAGGCCAGACAGGGGAUGCAGACGCUGCCCGCCGAGUCCCCGGGUAGGCCGCUAGAACGGCAUGGCAACGUGUCGUCGAGAGAGAUGACCGUCCACGAAGCGCGAGCUUCCGGACAGAACCCGGCGUACAGGUCGACCCAUUCG
rnacentral:RNase_P_RNA from 1 species